GUCAGGAUGGCCGAGCGGUCUAAGGCGCCAGACUCAAGGUGUGUUACCUUAACCAGAACAUAGAGUAUUCUGGUCCACGAAUGUGGGCGUGGGUUCGAAUCCCACUUCUGACA
rfam:Octopus bimaculoides Scaffold104273_contig_3, whole genome shotgun sequence.